GGAGUUGUCAUGACGUCACAAACUUGAAGCCAACCCAAGUGAAGAUCCGCCAUGUUAGCUACCCCAAAACAUUCGCUUCUGGUGGUUUGAUUUUGUGUAGUUGUGAAGUGUUUUGAUAAAAAAUGCCGGCUUGCGUCGCUUACGGGUAUACUAAUCGUUCUGAUUGUAGUCUAAAGUUUAAACAAAUCACAUUUCAUUCAUUGCCUAUCAAUCUAACACGAAGAGCUAUCUGGAGAAGAGGUUUUUAGCUUGCUGAGGCCCUGGAAAUUCCUUAUAAUGAUCAUAUUGUAAGUGAUGUGUUUGUUGAGCUGCCAGAUCCAGAAGUAGACAUGGAUGAAUAGUCAGGAAAUGAAGAUAUUGGUGGAUUAGUAGACAACUUGUCCUCUUGACAGUUACGAGCUAAUGCUGAAAUAAGGCUGUCAACUAACGAAAGGAUCGGAGUUGAUCACGAAGACCAUGACUCACUGACUCAAUCAAUGAACGCUGCACAAGAUCCAAUUGGACCUGAACUAGCUGCACCACAUCCAAGUGUACCAUAGCCAUGUGUAUCUGAAGUAAGACUACCUUAUUCUUGGACAAUAUUGUGAACUGGUCUUCUGAUAGAGAUACAUGUGGGUGGUAGUGCGAGAAGGGAGCUGACUUUGAGAUUCAAAAUCUCUCUACAUUUCCAAGGCCUGGUACUCGAGUCACGAAAGCAUGUCGAUCAUUGAUACAUUUGAACUUUUUAUUGAGCAGGCAGUUAUUGAACAUUUGGUGAAACAAACAAAGCAUAAUGCAUUAUGUCUCAGUUGUCAAGAACCAAAAAUUGCAGCAGACGAUAUGCAGUGUUUAUCUCUAUUUUGUGUGUUAGUGGCUAAAAGGAACUGUUAGGACUCAGAAGAUAACAUUAAAAACUUGUCUGUGUCUCAAUCUAUGAGAAGAGACAGAUUUCUACAAAUAUGUAGGUUUCUACACUGUGCACAUAAUAUUAAGAUCGAUCAAAAUGAGAACACAUGGAUAAUUCAUCCAGUUAUGGAGAUGUUGAAGAAGCAUUGCAUUGAGAAUUUCAUACCUAAGAAUACCUUUCAUAUGAUGGAUAUAUGGUGAAGUACUAUGUUGAAGCUGCCACAUAUGCAAAUAAUUAAUCCAUGGUAAUCCUAUUAGGUUCAGCUAUAAAAUUUGGAGCCUCAACACCAAAGAUGGAUAUUUGAUCAAUUUUGAACUGUAUGAGCGGAAAGGUCAUAAAGCAAAUGCAGUUUAUAAGUUUUUUUGGCAAGGUGGCAUGUCUCUCACUUGUUUUGUUAGAUGAAAUUCCUGAAGUGUAGAGAGACCUUUGCUACAGAUUCUACAUGGACAAUCUCUUUUCAGGCCCAUCUUUUUUUCAUUUCUCAAGCACUGUGGAUACUCUGCAAUCGAUAAAAUCAGAGAAAACAUAACUCAAAAGAACGUCCAUUGGAAAACAAAAAAUGAUUUUCCAAGAAAGAUCGUAGACAUCCUGAGGCAGCAAUAGCGAAGAAUGGUGGAUUAUUGUAUGUGUGAUGGGUGGACAACUCAGCUGUCACAGUGAGGUUUACUCCAUGUGGUGCUUGAGAAGUUGAACAAGUUAAGAGAUUUUCACAAUUAAAAAAGCGACAAUUAAUGAUUCCUAGGCCAAAACUGGUAGCCAAAUAUAAUGCAUAUAUGGGAUGUACUGACAAGAUGAAUCAGAAUCUAGCGUGCUAACAUACAGGAAUGAAGAGCGAAAAGUGGUAUUGGUCUAUCUGUACAUUGAUGUUAGAUGUCACCAUACAAAACAAUUGGAUUUUGCAUAGUAAAGGAAGAAAGCAAAAUGUAUCUCAGCUGGCAUUCAAGACGGAAGUAACAGCUUGGUACUUGCGGAGAUACCAUGCUUUAACGAAAGGAGCUGGAAGAUCUGCAUCAAGGGCAUCUUCUGAUAGUCGCAUAUCAGAUUCAAUUAGAUUUUAUAAAACUGGCCACCUCGUCCAACAUACGGAAGAAAAGAAGAAGAAGUGGUGUACUCACAAGGACUGUAAAUCUAUUUUGAGAACAUUGUGUUCCGAGCGUAAUGUGGGGCUGUGUAUAGAUUGUUUCAUUCCAUUUUAUGUACUGUAAUGAUGAGUGGAAGUAUUUGAUUCCUUUAUCCAUUUAUCUUGGUCAAUUGUAUUCUGUUAUAAAAUAUCAAUUAUAAGGGGGUAGUUUGAAUUGUACCCUGGAUGAUAAUUAGGCGAAAUAUUUGUCAGGAUUUGUAAGCAGUAGGUCCUUGAUGUAGGGCAAUAUACGAACACGAGAAGUAAGGUUAAACAGUGUCAUUAACAAAGGUGGAUCAUAAAACACGUAUGUUACGCGCACGCACCUAUCAUCUCUGUGUCUGGCUGUCGAGCGCGUGUUAUGUACCGUACGGCUGUGUGCAACCCGUAGACCCUUACACAAUUCUAUGACAAAGAAUUUAUAAUAAAUUUACACAAAAAACUUAAAUCUAAUAAGAACUUUCAAUUACUGAAUAUUUUGUUGCAGAAGUAAUCCACAUAAAUUUACCUAGGGAAUGCAUCUAACAUUGUCAUACAGCAACA